rnacentral:rRNA from 1 species
CACAAGCAGCGGAGCGUGUGGUUUAAUUCGUUGCUACACGAAGAACCUUACCUGGGUUUGACAUAUAGGUUUGUAGGGAACUGAAAAGGGACCGACCCUUCGGGGAGCCUAUACAGGUGUUGCAUGGCUGUCGUCAGCUCGUGUCGUGAGAUGUUCGGUUAAGUCCGCUAACGAGCGCAACCCUCGUCGUAUGUUAUAUGUGUCAUACGAGACUGCCGGUAAAAAGCCGGAGGAAGGUGAGGAUGGUGUCAAGUCAGCAUGACCUUUAUAUCCAGGGCUACACACACGCUACAAUGGUCUGUACAAUGGGUAGCCAAGCCGCGAGGCGGAGCCAAUCCAGCAAAACUUCCCUCAGUUCAGAUUGCAGGCUGCAACCCGCCUGCAUGAAGUUGGAGUUGCUAGUAAACGCAGGUCAGCCAUACUGCGUUGAAUACGUUCCCGGGGCUU